rnacentral:lncRNA from 1 species
AACAAAACAACCUCCUCCCAUCUCUUUCUGAUAACAAUAUCAAAAAAGCCUUUAUGGCUUAGAGAUACUUGAGAAUAUUGCCGCUGACUACAGGUGGUGAAGAAAAAAUCAGUACACUUAAUGAUGAGAACGUUUUUUCAAGGUUUCUUCACUUGGCUGCUGAAGAGCUUGUUUGUAUCUCUAUGGAUUCUAUUCACAUUAUGCAGUUGGACCAGCAGCAAUAACUGUAGCAACAAUAUGUCUAUCAAGAACUGAGGAAUCAGCAGAAAAAGAAACAGCAAAAGCCAGUUAUUCAUCAUAAUCAUUGUCAUUAGCAGAAACAAAAGAUCCAGAAUGAAUUCCUACAGUGCUCAUUUCUUCUAAAUAGCCAGUAUUUUGGAUGAGCAGUUUGUUGGUUUUGUAAGGCUUCCUGAUUUACUUAGAGGAAGAAAAGCGAAUCUAUUUUAGG